UACGUAGGGCGCAAGCGUUAUCCGGAAUUAUUGGGCGUAAAGAGCUCGUAGGCGGUUUGUCGCGUCUGCCGUGAAAGUCCGGGGCUCAACUCCGGAUCUGCGGUGGGUACGGGCAGACUAGAGUGCAGUAGGGGAGACUGGAAUUCCUGGUGUAGCGGUGAAAUGCGCAGAUAUCAGGAGGAACACCGGUGGCGAAGGCGGUUCUCUGGGCCUUACCUGACACUGAGGAGCGAAAGCGUGGGGAGCGAACAGG
rnacentral:rRNA from 1 species